GAUGAACGCUGGCGGCAGGCCUAACACAUGCAAGUCGAGCGGAUGACGGGAGCUUGCUCCUUGAUUCAGCGGCGGACGGGUGAGUAAUGCCUAGGAAUCUGCCUGGUAGUGGGGGACAACGUUUCGAAAGGAACGCUAAUACCGCAUACGUCCUACGGGAGAAAGCAGGGGACCUUCGGGCCUUGCGCUAUCAGAUGAGCCUAGGUCGGAUUAGCUUGUUGGUGAGGUAAUGGCUCACCAAGGCGACGAUCCGUAACUGGUCUGAGAGGAUGAUCAGUCACACUGGAACUGAGACACGGUCCAGACUCCUACGGGGGGCAGCAGUGGGGAAUAUUAGACAAUGGGCGAAAGCCUGAUCCAGCCAUGCCGCGUGUGUGAAGAAGGUCUUCGGAUUGUAAAGCACUUUAAGUUGGGAGGAAGGGCAGUAAGCUAAUACCUUGCUGUUUUGACGUUACCGACAGAAUAAGCACCGGCUAACUCUGUGCCAGCAGCCGCAGUAA
rnacentral:rRNA from 1 species